UACAGAGGUCUCGAGCGUUAGGCGGAAUCACUGGGCUUAAAGCGUGUGUAGGUGGAUCGUUAAGUACCUUGUGAAAUCCCACGGCUUAACCGUGGAACUGCUUGGUAUACUGGCGGUCUUGAGCCACUUAGGGGCUACCGGAACAAAUGGUGGAGCGGUGAAAUGCGUAGAUAUCGAGAGGAAGGCCAGAGGCGAAAGCGACGACCUGGGGAGGAACUGACACUGAACUACGAAAGCGUGGGGAGCAAACAGG
rnacentral:rRNA from 1 species